rnacentral:tRNA from 1 species
GCGUCCUUAGCUCAGCUGGAUAGAGUACCUGGCGACGAACCAGGCGGUCGGAGGAUCGAAUCCUCCAGGACGCGCCA